GCCUGGCUGGCUCAGUCAGUAGAGCAUGCGACUCUUGAUCUCAGGGUUGUGAGUUCAAGCCUCGUGUUAGGUG
rnacentral:tRNA from 1 species